AUGGACCGUUUCCGUAUGGCGGCUUCCCAACCCAACAAACCAACGAUGAAGGAGGAUGGCGAAGAUGAGAUGGCGGGAUGGUGGGAGAAGGCUGCGAAGAAGCUUAGAGAGGAGGAUGCAGCCAAGCUAAAGAAGAAGAAGGAAGAGGAGCUUGAGAAGGAGAGGAAGCGAAAACAGACUGCGGCAAAUGCGAUGCGCGCUAGGGAGCAAGCGUUGAUGAGGAAAGUUGAGGAGGCACAGAAGAAGCGUCAACAGGAUUUUGAAGAAAGAACCAUGAAGCUUUGGGCAAUUGCAGCUAAAAAGAAGAGAGGGACAAUCAGAUAUUCAUGGAGAGGGUGGUUAAGGAGGCUCACCUCAUAA
rnacentral:rRNA from 1 species